rnacentral:rRNA from 1 species
UACGGGGGGGGCAAGCGUUGUUCGGAAUUACUGGGCGUAAAGGGCUCGUAGGCGGCCAACUAAGUCAUACGUGAAAUCCCUCGGCUUAACCGGGGAACUGCGUCUGAUACUGGAUGGCUUGAGAUUGGGAGAGGGAUGCGGAAUUCCAGGUGUAGCGGUGAAAUGCGUAGAUAUCAGGAGGAACACCGGUGGCGAAGGCGGGUCUCUGGGCCGAUACUGACGCUGGAGGAGCGAAAGCGUGGGGAGCGAACAGG